AGAAGAGAGGGACGGGGGUCCUGAGGAAGGACGGUUGGAUAGGGGUCCUGAGGAAGGACAGUUGUGAGAGGGAUAGGGGUCCUGAGGAGGGACAGUUGGACGGGGGUCCUGAGGAAGGACAGUUGUA